rnacentral:rRNA from 1 species
GUUCUACCUUGACGAAUUGUAGUUUAAAGAAGUGUUUUCUGUUAGAGGAGUAGCAAAAGCUCCUUGGAAUGGGACAUCAUAGAGGGUGAGAAUCCCGUAUUUGGUUAUUCUUUCUAGCUUUGUGAUACACUUUCAAAGAGUCGGAUUGUUUGGGAAUGCAGUCCAAAAUGGGUGGUAAAUUUCAUCUAAAGCUAAAUAUUGGCGAGAGACCGAUAGCGAACAAGUACCGUGAGGGAAAGAUGAAAAGAACUUUGAAAAGAGAGUUAAACAGUACGUGAAAUUGUCAAAAGGGAAGCGUUUGACACCAGUGUUGUUUUUCCGAAAAUCAAUUAAGAACGGCUUGAUUUUGUGUUGUAUUGACCUUAUCAGCUUUCUUCACUCUUUUUCGAGUCUUUCUU